ensembl:misc_RNA Metazoa_SRP Metazoan signal recognition particle RNA
GCUGGGUAUGGUGACGUGUGCCUGUAGUCCUGGCUACUUGGGAGGCUGAGGUGGGAGGAUCACUUGAGCCCAGGAGGUUGAGGCUGCAGUGAGCUGAGCUCAUACUACUGCACUCCAGCCUGGGCAUCAGAGUGAGACCCUGUCUCAA